AUACGGAGGAUGCGAGCGUUAUCCGGAUUUAUUGGGUUUAAAGGGUGCGUAGGCUGUGCGUUAAGUCAGGGGUGAAAUGCCGUCGCUCAACGACGGAGCUGCCCUUGAUACUGGCGUGCUGGAGUACGGAUGCCGUUGGAGGAAUGAGUGGUGUAGCGGUGAAAUGCUUAGAUAUCACUCAGAACACCGAUUGCGAAGGCAUCUGACGAAUCCGUCACUGACGCUGAGGCACGAAAGCGUGGGGAUAGAACAGGAUUAGAUACCCUGGUAUUCCACGCCGUAAACGAGGAUGACUAACCGUCGGCGAUAGACAGCCGGUGGCCAAGCGAAAGCGAUAAGACAUCCACCUGGGGAGUACGUCGGCAACGAAGAAACUCAAAGGAAUUGACGGGG
rnacentral:rRNA from 1 species